rnacentral:rRNA from 1 species
GUCUACGGCCAUGCCCCUUGAACACACCCAAUCUCAUCUGAUCUUGGAAGCUAAGCAGGUUCGGGCAUGCUUAGUGCUUGGAUGGGAGACCAUCUAGGAAUACCGGGUGCUGUAGGUG